rnacentral:rRNA from 1 species
GACGAACGCUGGCGGCGUGCUUAACACAUGCAAGUCGAACGGAAAGGCCCUGCUUUUGUGGGGUGCUCGAGUGGCGAACGGGUGAGUAACACGUGAGUAACCUGCCCUUGACUUUGGGAUAACUUCAGGAAACUGGGGCUAAUACCGGAUAGGAGCUCCUGCUGCAUGGUGGGGGUUGGAAAGUUUCGGCGGUUGGGGAUGGACUCGCGGCUUAUCAGCUUGUUGGUGGGGUAGUGGCUUACCAAGGCUUUGACGGGUAGCCGGCCUGAGAGGGUGACCGGCCACAUUGGGACUGAGAUACGGCCCAGACUCCUACGGGGGGCAGCAGUGGGGAAUAUUGCACAAUGGGCGGAAGCCUGGUGCAGCAACGCCGCGUGCGGGAUGACGGCCUUCGGGUUGUAAACCGCUUUCGCCUGUGACGAAGCGUGAGUGACGGUAAUGGGUAAAGAAGCACCGGCUAACUACGUG